AACUUUACAGUUUACAGUUAUGUUGUAAUUUCAUCGUAUUUGAAGUUACAAAUAAUUUGUUUUCCGGGACACAUCCCACAAAGGUUGUUUCCUGUGAAUGAAAGCAACAUGUUUGAGAAAUUAAGAUUAACUGUUUAUUUUAGUAAUGUGUGUGAUUUGCGUGAGUUUGAUUGGCAGUCUAGUUUAGAAAAUGAAUAACACAUCAGGUUAUUGUACACACUGGCGUUCUGUCUGUGACAGGAGGGUGAAAUAGGUUAACUAUGUUCUUUCAUAGGUCAGAGUUAUGUUAAUCUGGCUGUUGUAAGAAACAAAAACCUUCUGUGAGUUUCUCCCAGUCUGCGCACACUGGUUCGCUGUGCAUUUGCAGGCAAAACCUCAUGGUAGUUGGGUUGUUGAUCUGGAAGCAGAUGUGUUUCCUGUUGCACAUCAUACCGUUUGACCGUUAAGCCUACAGGUCUUCUAGUGCUCCAGGAACCUCUACUGGCUUAAGGUAACACUUGCUUAGUCCUGACAGCUGCUUGGGUCUGCUGUCUUGAUGUAGUAGUGCUAAUGUUUUAAAGAGCUACUUUUGCCAAGGACAACAUGAUCCAGUAUGCAAUACCGCUUAGUUAGUGUUACCACAUUGGUAUGUUAUUGCGGACAUCGGGACUGAGAUAGGGAGGCUUUAGUUUGAUGACGCCAUUUCUUGUUCCAUCACUCAUUGUGUUUACUCUGUCCAUUUGUCAAAGGCUUUGGGGAAUCCCAUUAGCGUAGAAGACGAACCCACAUUGAAUGACUGCCAUGGUUAAUCUGGUGCUGACCGAGGUCUUGUCCAGGAGACCGACGCUCUCGCAGGGAUGUAAAACCAGGUCAGGGGGCAGCUAUAAAAACCUUCAAUCACACUGUGCCGAGAUGUUCAGCGUUCAGUCAGAAGGCCGUCUUCGAGAGUGCAAUGCCAAUCAAAAGGAACCAUGUCCCAUUAAGCCUUAUAGCCUCAGUAUGUGAGGAGCCAUGGAGAUUCCCAUCUGUCUGAAAUGAACCCUGGAACAUUAUCUGCUCAGUUACCACCACAUGGUCUCUCAGUCUGGUGGGGGCGGACAGUGUGUAGAAGUAAAUCUGUGAUGUAGACCAUUGAUGUUUUUUUUAAAAAUGUAUUUUGUUCAUUUGUAACCAAAAACAAGCAGAGUAUUUAUGUUUGCAGUGCUACCACCAAACUACACGCAGUGAACGUCAUUGUGGACGUGCUAACAUGCACAGCUUACACCACGAUGGGUCUUCCUGCUGUUACAGCAGAGGUGUCAAACCGGUUCCACGGAGGGCGGAGCUUUUUGGUUUUUCCUCAAAAUUGGUUCCCAGUUCAGACCUAAACAACCACGUGAGGGUAGAAAACUAACCAAUUAGUGACCUAAUUAAUGAAGUACAAGCUGAGAGUGAAAACCUGCUGACACCCGGCCGUCUGUGGAACCGGUUGGACACUGCUAGAGGAUGUUUCCUGAAGUGUGCAGAUUGGAGUCUUCCUUCAGCUACAAACAUUUUGGUGUGAAAGUUGGGCUCACGUUGCCAGACGUUCAUUAUCAUAAAGAAGCCCGAAAUAGACCACUACCUCUACCUUGUGGAUUUCAGCCUAGUUUGUGAUGUGCUUGCAUGCAAUCAAUGUACGUUUCUUAUGUUGUCUGUAUUUAGUUCUGGAAUUGAAUGGUACACACAGCACUUUAACUCUAAUAAUAAAUGUUGCAGCAGAC
ensembl:lncRNA